rnacentral:misc_RNA from 1 species
UUUCCGUAGGUGAACCUGCGGAAGGAUCAUUAACGAGUUUUGAAAUGGGUUGUUGCUGGCCUUCCGAGGCAUGUGCACGCCCUGCUCAUCCACUCUACACCUGUGCACUUACUGUAGGUUGGCGUGGGUUUCUAGCCUCCGGGCUGGAAGCAUUCUGCCGGCCUAUGUACACUACAAACUCUAAAGUAUCAGAAUGUAAACGCGUCUAACGCAUCUUAAUACAACUUUCAGCAACGGAUCUCUUGGCUCUC